ensembl:lncRNA
CUAGAAGGGAAAUCUCUCACCAAAAUAUUGAUGGUAGUUAUUUCUGAUUGAUGGCUUUAUGCUGAUUAAAAUUAUUUCACUAUUUUUUUGUGAACAAUGCAAGUACUACUAAAAGUAAUCCCUUAGAAAGGCAUACCAUUGUAAAAAUAGCAAUUUUUCUGCCCUGUUAUAGCUUGUUUAUCAUUUGUGUUUAAAAGCUGUAAAAUGACUUAAAUUCUAUUACCAGGGGCCGUAUGGAAAGCUCUACUCUUCAUGUACUUUUGGUACCAGGGUUGGUUUUUAUUCAGUAGUGACUGUUCAGAACACUUUGGUGGGCCCAGCUUUUCAAAGCCCUCUUCAUCUCUUGCUACCCCCACAACCAACAAAUGCUUUCCAUGAGCCCUAUCACUGGGGCUUCAGGCCAGCUGUGUCCCUAAUCCACCCACGUCCCAGAUUUGGGAAUGGUUCAUUCUCCAACUGUUCCCCCACCUACCCCUGCUUUCUUCCAGCCCCAUCUCCCCUCCCUGGCCUUCCUCAGUGGCCACCACCUAAUUUCACCCUCUUCUGUGCAGCUGGUGUUGCUUUUUUGCUGGAGCUCAGUUUGUAAUGGGGAAGGAUUAGGACCCUUUCAUGCCAUCUUUUUUCUUUUUUUCUUUUUUCUCCUUAGUGCCCUUGACCGCUCUGGGGCUGAGAGGCAGCUUGCAGGGCCUGUAUUCCCUAGGAAGAAACAGGAGGGGUGGUGGGGGAGGCAGCAAUGGGCUCAGCUGGCAGGCGGCAUAGAGAUGGCCCCUAGAGACCCUGUCUUGGGGCUUGGAGCGUGGCACAGCCGCCACCCAGUUGUGAGCAUAGGACAGGGAGGGAGAGAGGGAGCUGAGUUUCUUCCUAGGAAAUUAGCUUCGGAGAUGGUGCUUGGGACCUUUAACCCUGUACUCAAAGGCAGCCUCUGUGGGGUGAGCUGGGACCAGAUGUCUGGUUUGCAGAGGCCUCUUCUGAGAGGGCAGAUAGGCACAGGAGUUAGGGUAGUUUCUCUGCCUUUUCUUUUUCCUCUCACUUUCUACUAUGUGUUAGGCCCAGUUAUGCCCAAGGAUCUGGCACUUAGCCUAACAAGGUAUGGUGUAUACCUAACUAAAAAAUCUCUCAUGUGUGGAUAGUACUUUACAGUUUACAAAGCCCUUUCAUCUCCAGUCUAAGAAUUAAAAGCCGGGACUGGAUUUUAAAUAUUUUAAGAUUCUAAAGCCUGCGC